ACCUUUAUCUCCAUCACUGCGGUGGGUCCUUGCUGGGUACACAAAAGACGGCUCCCCUCUGAAAGGACCCCUUGCAUUUGCAGCUACCUGCUGGAUCAUGGAGUCCGUGAUGGAGGGGAGGAGGAACCAGUUCAUGCAGUCAAAGCUGGAGGUGACAGACCACAGGAGAGAGCAUGCUAACUAUGCGCAGAAAGGCAGCAGCUGGGAUUCGAACCUACGACCUUCUCACUUUGAGGCCACAAUUCCACCAUGCAGCCCGUAAGAUCUUGUAUCUCGAGCCUAUUGCACAUCUGCAAAGCAGGAGCAAGUCUGAUCUAUGGAGGCCCCAUGCUGAAGCCCAAAAGACCCAAAGCACGAACUGAGAAUGUUCCGGUGCCAAACGCCACAGGAGACCUGCUUUGAUCCUGACUGGUUACGGCUUUUUUAGUGAUGCAAAGGGGCUUUAUGUUACAAAAACAUGGAAUGUCAGUGUUGCAGGUGAUUUAGACACGGUGGAACAUUUGAAAAGUAGCUUUGCUUUCGUAAUUGUUUACAUAUAUGUUAAAGUUCAUUUGCAAGGACUUAUGGAACUUGGAAAAAGAGAAAGAAGGCAGAAUAUAGAUCUUUUCCUGUCAAGAAACAUAGAUUAAAAAAUCUGGUAUAAUUCAUAGAAUAUCUUUGUAAUUUUUCUGAUUUAAAACAAGAAAUUAAGUUGUUAGAGGAGUUCAGAGUGUAGCUUUUGUGUUGGACUCAGACACUCCUUUUCUUUCAUCCAUGAAGUUAAUAAAAAAAAGAGAUUUAGCGAGGAAAGGGCCAAAGGGUGUUUGGUUUCUGGCUGUUUGUGAGUGACAGAAAGAUAAAAAUGCUAAAGGAACAUAUGGCAGGAUGUGCAGAUUCCUUUCAGUUUAAGACAAAUAGGAUGUAUGCCUGUUAGGACUGAUAAUAUCACUGAUAGCACAAGUUAUGGCAGUCAGUGUGUGCAUGUUAAUAUAUUUUAGCGUUGUUUAAGCAUGAAUGUGUCGUCUGGUUUUGGUUUUAAACUAAAUGUGUGCAUUUAGUUGUGUUACCAGAGUUAGGCUGUGAAUAGUGUGGGCUGUUGUAAUGGUGAUUUGCCUCCGUUUCAACCCCUGAGCGAAGGUGACUUAGUAAAAAGUAGGAAUUUUGAGAUCAGGUUUUUUUUCUGCGAGGUGUGACCAAACUUUGGAAAUUCCCAGUGGUCACAUCGUCACCCUGCAAUAGCUUUUCCAAAGUUUAACAAGAACAAUGUUUCUUCUCUCUUUCUCUCCUAUUGUGUGUAUUAUUAAAUAAUUUCCUUUUAACCAAAUGAACCUACAUUUUUAUUUGGAAUAAUGCUCUGUUGCCAUUUAUUUUAGCUAACAGCUGUUCUAAACACAGCCAAAACCAACAUAUCGCUGCCAUCUUACAUGAACAUAUCUCCCAAAUUUCACAAAUUUUCUCCAUCAUUUUGCCAUCCUAUGCUUAUAAUACAACAUCCUGAAGGAAUGCGCUGCACUUGCUUAGCAACUUCA